GGAUUCCAAUAAUGUGAGCCCUUUACCUAAUAAGAGACUCCAGCUAUUCUCUCUCUUAAUGUGAUGACACUAUUCAUAGACUCUGAUUUUAUUUAUAAGCCACUCACUGCAUGACCCUCCAAGUAGACCUUGCAGGCUUGAAAUAAAGAAAAA